GAGAGAGAGAGAGAGAGAGAGAGAGAGAGAGAGAGUUUUUAAUUUAUUUUAAAAUUUAAAUUUCGUAAGUUAAAGAAUAAAAAUUUAUAAUUUUUAAAAUUACAAAAUUAAAAUUUUAAAUUUUAAAUUGUUUAAUUUUAAAAUUUAAAACUUGAUACUUUAAAUUUUUUAUAUUUAGAAUUUAAUAUUUUGUAUUUUUAAAUUAAAAUUUCAUAUUAAAUUUAAAGUUUAAAAUUUAAAAUUUUAAUUUUUAAGAUUGUAAAUUUGAGAUUUUAAAAUUUUAAAAUUUAAAAGUUUAUAUUUUAAAUUCUAAAAUAUAAAUAUAAAAUAUAAAAAUUCAAAUUUUAAUAUAAAGAAAAUGAUGAUACCAUUAUUUUUUAUUUAUAACUAUCUACUUAAAUUUUUAUUCCAUCUUAUCUAACCAAACGCUAUUUUUUUUAUUCUCAGGAAUAAUCCAAUUUUCAUCCAAACACAAAAUUGAUCUAAUCCCCACUUAUACCUCAAUUUAUACCUAUCCCUAGAAUAGUCACUUUUUGCUUAUUCCCGAACCAAACGGUACCUAAGUUAACUUCCCUAAUUUCUGUUGCUAUAUG
rnacentral:lncRNA from 1 species